rnacentral:rRNA from 1 species
AGCGAACGCUGGCGGCAGGCCUAACACAUGCAAGUCGAACGAACCUUUCGGGGUUAGUGGCGGACGGGUGAGUAACACGUGGGAACGUGCCUUUAGGUUCGGAAUAACUCAGGGAAACUUGUGCUAAUACCGAAUGUGCCCUUCGGGGGAAUGAUUAAUCGCCUUUAGAGCGGCCCGCGUCUGAUUAGCUAGUUGGUUGAGGUAAUGGCUCACCAAGGCGACGAUCAGUAGCUGGUCUGAGAGGAUGAUCAGCCACAUUGGGACUGAGACACGGCCCAAACUCCUACGGGAGGCAGCAGUGGGGAAUCUAGCGCAAUGGGCGAAAGCCUGACGCAGCCAUGCCGCGUGAAUGAUGAAGGUCUUAGGAUUGUAAAAUUCUUUCACCGGGGACGAUAAUGACGGUACCCGGAGAAGAAGCCCCGGCUAACUUCGUG